CUCACUCAAUGGACCUUGUGUUAUGGACAUAUGCAAAAUUCUAAAUUCUAUGCUUUAAGACAUUACAGUGUCAAAUAGGGGAAUCAGCAGCGGUUACACUUGCAGAGAAUACUAUCUGUGAGGUUCUAGAGCCAGUGUAUAGCUAAGCGCAUCUAAAUAUGCUCUCGUACUGUGCUGCCCAAGGACAAUUCUCUGGUGUCCCUGGAUGCCGGUCACCAGGCAACAAUAUCUGGUUGGUGGAACAGAAUAACAAAUCUGGAGUGUUGGCAAGUUGCAAUUUGGGUGAUAUCUUCAUCAAUUCAUU